ensembl:snoRNA
GAUGUCCAGAUGCUAACCACAGGCUGUGUUCUUACACUGACUAUAGAAAGAGAAGGCAGAGUAAAUCUACCCCAUAUACACAUCAGCCCAGACCCCAUGCCUGGUCAGUAUUGUGAAUGGGGAGGCAUGG